rnacentral:rRNA from 1 species
UACGGAGGGUGCGAGCGUUGUCCGGAAUCACUGGGCGUAAAGGGCGCGUAGGCGGCUCGACAAGCGUGUGGUGAAAGUCCGGGGCUCAACCCCGGAUCGGCCGUGCGGACUGUGGGGCUGGAGCACUGUAGAGGCGAGCGGAAUUCCGGGUGUAGCGGUGGAAUGCGUAGAGAUCCGGAAGAACACCGGUGGCGAAGGCGGCUCGCUGGGGCAGGAAGAGGGUCGCAAGACCCCUCGGCUGACGGCUGAGGCGCGACAGCGUGGGGAGCAAACAGG